GGGCCUAUAGCUCAGUUGGUUAGAGCGCACGCCUGAUAAGCGUGAGGUGGAUAGUUCAAUUCUAUCUAGGCCCA
rnacentral:tRNA from 1 species